UCCUUACACAUGCAAGUCGAACGGCAGCACGGGGGCAACCCUGGUGGCGAGUGGCGAACGGGUGAGUAAUACAUCGGAACGUGUCCUGUAGUGGGGGAUAGCCCGGCGAAAGCCGGAUUAAUACCGCAUACGCUCUACGGAGGAAAGGGGGGGAUCUUAGGACCUCCCGCUACAGGGGCGGCCGAUGGCAGAUUAGCUAGUUGGUGGGGUAAAGGCCUACCAAGGCGACGAUCUGUAGCUGGUCUGAGAGGACGACCAGCCACACUGGGACUGAGACACGGCCCAGACUCCUACGGGAGGCAGCAGUGGGGAAUUUUGGACAAUGGGGGAAACCCUGAUCCAGCAAUGCCGCGUGUGUGAAGAAGGCCUUCGGGUUGUAAAGCACUUUUGUCCGGAAAGAAAACCUCUGGGUUAAUACCCCGGGGGGAUGACGGUACCGGAAGAAUAAGCACCGGCUAACUACGUGCCAGCAGCCGCGGUAAUACGUAGGGUGCAAGCGUUAAUCGGAAUUACUGGGCGUAAAGCGUGCGCAGGCGGUCCGCUAAGACAGAUGUGAAAUCCCCGGGCUUAACCUGGGAACUGCAUUUGUGACUGGCGGGCUAGAGUAUGGCAGAGGGGGGUAGAAUUCCACGUGUAGCAGUGAAAUGCGUAGAGAUGUGGAGGAAUACCGAUGGCGAAGGCAGCCCCCUGGGCCAAUACUGACGCUCAUGCACGAAAGCGUGGGGAGCAAACAGGAUUAGAUACCCUGGUAGUCCACGCCCUAAACGAUGUCAACUAGUUGUCGGGUCUUCAUUGACUUGGUAACGUAGCUAACGCGUGAAGUGACCGCCUG
rnacentral:rRNA from 1 species